GAGACAACAGGUCUUGCAAAGCCUGGUCCAGUCAUUGAAACAUUUUGUUCUGAUGAAUUGGUUUCAAGACAUGUCAAACUUGAUGGAGUCGUUACAUUGGUUGAUUCGAAGCACGCCUUGCAACAUUUAAAUAAGGUAAAACCCAGAUUUGUGUCGAAUGAGGCUGUUGAACAAGUGGCUUAUGCAGAUCGUAUUAUCUUGAACAAGAUAGACUUGGUAACUGA
rnacentral:misc_RNA from 1 species